CUGUGGGCUGUGGUGUAGGCCACAGAUGCUGCUCGGAUCCUGAGCUGCAGUGGCUGUGGUGUAGGCCAGCAGCUGUAGCUCAGAUUCAACCCCUAGCCUGGGAACUUCCAUAUGCUCAGGGUGUGGCCCUAAAAAGCAAAAAAAAAAAGAGUUCUAAUAAACUUGGAAAAAGGCUUUGGCCAUGGUAAAAAGUAGCCAUCAGAACCGGCUUUAAAUGUGUUUAAUCAAUCAACAACUCACUUCAGGGAACAUGCUUUCACAAGCCACCAAGUUCCAGUUCAGGGAACAUGCUUUCACUAGCCAGCCCCCCACUGGCUGAGGUGAGUCAAUCCAGGAUGAACUCACUUCCAUAAACAUGACACUGAAUGCCAAGCAAUCAGCAAUAAUUUCACUUGAGUAAUCACAUUUCCACCUCUCAAAGCCCACAAGUCCAGAAAAACAAGAACAACAAAAACAAAAUCUGCCUGUUAGCAGUAAAUUAUUUCUCUAGUCUUGUUCUGUGUUUGUUACCUGGCAUAGCAUAAUGUUUCAAUAUGAAGUUUGGGUACAUGUGGUAUCUGAAAGUAGUUUUUGUGAUAACCUUUACUUGUAGUUAAUACUCUCACUACUUGCACAAAAGUGAUACGGUUACCUUUCCAAGCAGGAAAAGAGUAGAAGGAAAUCAUGACUAAAAUAGCUUCAGAGUAAGAUGAACGACUCCUCCCGGUUUUCUCAGAACUUUGCUCUUUUAGCACCAAUAGUCCCACAUUUGGGGAAAUCCCUCGUGCCCAGGCAAACUGAGACAGUAAGUGAGACGCUAGCCUUCAUCAGCCAUCAAGGCAAAUUGUAAGCUGCUCGAUACAAAAGGAGUGAAGUCAGGCAAACAGCAUAUAUUAACAAGGUCUGGCUACAGCAAAACUUGAGUGAGUAUAGAGUUUGUAUGUGGUCCUCCUGGUCUCCUCUUUAACUCUUUCAUGACCCUCCAAGACCCUCCACUCUCCCCUCCCCCUUUUGAUGUCUAUUCCUGUGUGACUUUGUUCUUCCUUACCUUCAGCUAAACUCUGCUAAGGUGUGAGAUGAAAGAGACUUAAGGGGUUAUUUGCUCACAGAUCUUCUAAUUUUAAUAAGGGACUUGAAGACUAAAAACCCUCCAAAGCUUGAAUAAAUGAAGCUCCGCUGAUGAAAUCUGGGGAGUA
rnacentral:lncRNA from 1 species